rnacentral:rRNA from 1 species
AUUGAACGCUGGCGGCAGGCCUAACACAUGCAAGUCGAGCGGAUGACGGGAGCUUGCUCCUUGAUUCAGCGGCGGACGGGUGAGUAAUGCCUAGGAAUCUGCCUGGUAGUGGGGGACAACGUUUCGAAAGGAACGCUAAUACCGCAUACGUCCUACGGGAGAAAGCAGGGGACCUUCGGGCCUUGCGCUAUCAGAUGAGCCUAGGUCGGAUUAGCUAGUUGGUGGGGUAAUGUCUCACCAAGGCGACGAUCCGUAACUGGUCUGAGAGGAUGAUCAGUCACACUGGAACUGAGACACGGCCCAGACUCCUACGGGAGGCAGCAGUGGGGAAUAUUGGGCAAUGGGCGAAAGCCUGAUCCAGCCAUGCCGCGUGUGUGAAGAAGGUCUUCGGAUUGUAAAGCACUUUAAGUUGGGAGGAAGGGCAGUAAGUUAAUACCUUGCUGUUUUGACGUUACCGACAGAAUAAGCACCGGCUAACUCUGUGCCAGCCGCCGCAGUAAAAC